GACCUUCUAUUACCCAGUCUUUGAACAUUGGAAAUCCUUACCUACUGUGUGGUUUCUGAAUUGCAGUUUCUGUGAUUGACACCAAGUGUGGUCACUGUCCUCCAGCCAAUGUCUUGGUUGGGAGGAGAUCCGCGAGCAGGACCUAAUGCAGUGUUUUUUUAUCCUUCCUAGGACGGCCUUAGCCCGAUUUCGCCAAGCUCAAUUGGAAGAGGGAAAAGUGAAGGUCGGUGUCAAUCUUCCUCAUUUUCUGCUAAACAUACCUCAAGACCAGAUGCAGGGAAACUCCUUCCUGGGCGGACUUUGAACUCCAGAUCUUCCUGCCUGCACUUGGCUGAUAUGCGAAAAAGAGUCUAUACACUUGAGCUAGGUGCCCUGGCCCACGUGUGUAAUCUUGGCGAUUUGGGAGGCUGAGGCAGGAGGAUCACAAGUUUCGAGGCCAGCCUCUGCAACUGAGAGAGAGAGAGAGAGAAAGAGCCCAUCUCAAAAUAAACAAAUAAAUGAAUAAAUAAAAUAAAAAAUAUGUUUUGAGACAUCCUGAAAAGUCUGGGGAUGAAGUUCAGUGGUAAAGUGCUCCUGGAUUCUACCCCUCAUACUGCAAAAAAAAAAAAUAAAUAAAAUAAAUC
rnacentral:lncRNA from 1 species